rnacentral:tRNA from 1 species
GGUGCUGUAGCUCAAUGGUAGAGCGCUAGCCUUGAGCUAAAGAGCUGAGGGACAGCGCCU